rnacentral:rRNA from 1 species
UACAGAGGUGACGAGCGUUGUUCGGAUUUAUUGGGCGUAAAGGGCGUGUAGGCGGUCAGGUAAGUCAGAUGUGAAAUCUCCCUGCUUAACAGGGAAAUUGCAUUUGAAACUACUUGGCUUGAGUGUCGGAGAGGAGAAUGGAAUUCUCGGUGUAGCGGUGAAAUGCGUGGAUAUCGAGAGGAACACCAGUGGUGAAGACGGUUCUCUGGACGAUUACUGACGCUGAGGCGCGAAAGCUAGGGGAGCAAACAGG